GGAUGUUGGCUUAGAAGCAGCCAUCAUUUAAAGAAAGCGUAAUAGCUCACUGGUCUAAUGGCUCUGCGCCGAAAAUGUAACGGGGCUAAGCAUGGUACCGAAGCUUUGGCAAUCUCCUUUGGGGAUUGGGUAGGGGAGCGUUCGCUGCGGGCUGAAGGUGUGCCGGAAGGCAUGCUGGACUGCAGUGAAGUGAUUAUGCUGACAUGAGUAACGAUAAAAUAUGUGAAAAACAUAUUCGCCGAAAACCCGAGGUUUCCUGGGUAAAGGUAAUCUUCCCAGGGUUAGUCGGAUCCUAAGGUGAGGGUGAAAGCCGUAACCGAUGGAAAACAGGUUAAUAUUCCUGUACUUGUUGUGUAGCGCGAUGGAGGGACGCAGGAAGAUAGGCGGGCCGGGUGUUGGAUAUCCCGGUGCAAGCGUGUAGGAAUAUCCGGUAGGCAAACCCGCCGGACGAAUCUGAGACGCGAGUCCGUGGGCGCAAGCCCUGAAGCCGUUGAGUCUAUGCUGCCUAGAAAAGCUCCUAAGUUUAUCCACAGCAAUCCGUACCGCAAACCAACUCAGGUGGGUGGGAUGAACAAUCCAAGGCGCUCGAGAGAACUCUGGCCAAGGAACUCGGCAAAAUGACCCCGUAACUUCGGAAGAAGGGGUGCUCUCUAGGGUGACAUGUUUAACAUAUGAAGCCCCGGGGAGCCGCAGUGAAUUGGUGGUGGCGACUGUUUACUAAAAACAUAGGUCUGUGCGAAGUCCUAAAGACGACGUAUACGGACUGACGCCUGCCCGGUGCUGGAAGGUUAAAAGGAGGGGUCAGCGCAAGCAAAGCUCCGAAUUGAAGCCCCAGUAAACGGCGGCCGUAACUAUAACGGUCCUAAGGUAGCGAAAUUCCUUGUCGGGUAAGUUCCGACCUGCACGAAUGGCGUAACGAUCUCCACACUGUCUCGGCCAGAGACUCGGUGAAAUUGCAGUUGCGGUGAAAAUUCCGUGUACCCGCAGAAAGACGGAAAGACCCUGUGCACCUUUACUAUAGCUUGACAUUGGAUUUUGGGCCUGCAUGUGUAGGAUAGGUGGGAGGCUGUGAACCCUGUACGCCAGUAUGGGGGGAGCCAUCCUUGAAAUACCACCCUUGCAUGUUUAAGAUCCUAACUUCUUCCGGUUAUCCCGGAGAAAGACAGUGUCUGGCGGGUAGUUUGACUGGGGCGGUCGCCUCCUAAAGUGUAACGGAGGCAUGCAAAGGUUCCCUCAGCCUGAUCGGAAACCAGGCGCUGAGUGCAAACGCAUAAGGGAGCUUGACUGUAAGAGAGACAUCUCGAACAGGAACGAAAGUUGGCGUUAGUGAUCCGGUGGUCCCGAAUGGAAGGGCCAUCGCUCAUUGGAUAAAAGGUACGCCGGGGAUAACAGGCUGAUCGCAUCCAAGAGUUCACAUCGACGAUGCGGUUUGGCACCUCGAUGUCGGCUCAUCACAUCCUGGGGCUGAAGCAGGUCCCAAGGGUACGGCUGUUCGCCGUUUAAAGUGGUACGCGAGCUGGGUUUAAAACGUCGUGAGACAGUUUGGUCCCUAUCUUCUGUGGGCGAAGGAGAAUUGAGAGGGCCUGUCCCUAGUACGAGAGGACCGGGAUGGACGCACCCCUGGUGAUCCUGUUGUCGCGCCAGCGGCAUAGCAGGGUAGCUAUGUGCGGAAGGGAUAACCGCUGAAAGCAUCUAAGCGGGAAGCCUGCCUCAAGAUAAGUUCUCCCCUCGAAAGAGCUGAAGGGCCCGGGUAGACUACCCGGUCGAUAGGCUGGAGGUGUAAGCGCGGCGACGUGCUCAGCUGACCAGUACUAAUAGCCCGAGCGGCUUAUUUUU
rnacentral:rRNA from 1 species